GGAUGCCUACACGUAUCCUGAAAUUGGAACAAUACAGAGAUUAGCAUGGCCCCUGCACAAGGAAGACAUAGAGAUUCAUAAAGUAUUCUGCAAUAGG
rnacentral:snRNA from 1 species